rnacentral:rRNA from 1 species
UACGAGAGGUGCAAGCGUUAUUCGGAAUUAUUGGGCGUAAAGAGCUCGUAGGCGGUUUGUCGCGUCUGCUGUGAAAUCCCGAGGCUCAACCUCGGGCCUGCAGUGGGUACGGGCAGACUAGAGGUAGGUAGGGGAGAAUGGAAUUCCCGGUGUAGCGGUGAAAUGCGCAGAUAUCGGGAGGAACACCGGUGGCGAAGGCGGUUCUCUGGGCCUUACCUGACGCUGAGGAGCGAAAGCGUGGGGAGCGAACAGG